rnacentral:rRNA from 1 species
AGGGAUAAUGCCCUUAGUAACGGCGAGUGAAGCGGCAACAGCUCAAAUUUGAAAGCUAGCCUUCGGGUUCGCAUUGUAAUUUGUAGAGGAUGCUUUGGGUAAAACGCCAGUCUAAGUUCCUUGGAACAGGACGUCAUAGAGGGUGAGAAUCCCGUAUGUGACUGGAAAUGUUAACCUAUGUAAAGCUCCUUCGACGAGUCGAGUUGUUUGGGAAUGCAGCUCUAAAUGGGAGGUAAAUUUCUUCUAAAGCUAAAUAUUGGCGAGAGACCGAUAGCGCACAAGUAGAGUGAUCGAAAGAUGAAAAGCACUUUGGAAAGAGAGUUAAAAAGCACGUGAAAUUGUUGAAAGGGAAGCGCUUGCAAUCAGGACUUGUUUAAACUGUUCGGCCGGUCUUCUGACCGGUUUACUCAGUUUGGACAGGCCAGCAUCAGUUUCGGCGGCCGGAUAAAGGCAUUGGGAAUGUGGCCUUCACUUCGGUGGAGGUGUUAUAGCCCAGUGUGUAAUACGGCCAGCCGGGACUGAGGUCCGCGCUUCGGCUAGGAUGCUGGCGUAA